AACGAACGCUGGCGGCGUGCCUAACACAUGCAAGUCGAGCGCGAAAAGGGCAACCUGAGUAGAGCGGCGCGCGGGUGCGUAACACGUGGGUAAUCUGCCUUAGAGUCGAGGAUAACCUUCCGAAAGGUUGGCUAAUACUCGGUAAGCUUACGGUGUCUUCGGACGCUGUGGGAAAAGUAGGCCUCUGUUUACAGGCUUACGCUCUGAGAUGAGCCCGCGGCCCAUCAGCUAGUUGGCGGUGUAACGGACCACCAAGGCAACGACGGGUAGCUGGUCUGAGAGGACGAUCAGCCACACUGGAACUGAGACACGGUCCAGACUCCUACGGGAGGCAGCAGUGGGGAAUUUUCCACAAUGGGCGAAAGCCUGAUGGAGCAACGCCGCGUGUGUGAUGAAGGUUUUCGGAUCGUAAAGCACUUUCGACCGGGACGAAAAACCUCUGGCUAACAUCCAGGGGCCUGACGGUACCGGGAGAAGAAGCACCGGCUAACUCUGUGCCAGCCGCCGCGGUAA
rnacentral:rRNA from 1 species